UGGGAAUAUUGCACAUGGGCGAAAGCCUGAUGCAGCAACGCCGCGUGAGUGAUGAAGGCCUUCGGGGUUGUAAAGCUCUGUCUUUUGGGACGAUAAUGACGGUACCAAAGGAGGAAGCCACGGCUAACUACGUGCCAGCAGCCGCGGUAAUACGUAGGUGGCAAGCGUUGUCCGGAUUUACUGGGCGUAAAGGAUGCGUAGGCGGAUUUUUAAGUGAGAUGUGAAAUACCCGGGCUUAACUUGGGUGCUGCAUUUCAAACUGGGAAUCUAGAGUGCGGGAGAGGAGAAUGGAAUUCCUAGUGUAGCGGUGAAAUGCGUAGAGAUUAGGAAGAACACCAGUGGCGAAGGCGAUUCUCUGGACCGUAACUGACGCUGAGGCAUGAAAAGCGUGGGUAGCAAACAGGAUUAGAUACCCUGGUAGUCCACGCCGUAAACGAUGAGUACUAGGUGUAGGAGGUAUCGACCCCCUUCUGUGCCGCAGUUAACACAAUAAGUACU
rnacentral:rRNA from 1 species